CUGUAAUGCUCAGUUCUUUAAAAGGUCAACAAGACACUAAGAGCCUUCAUCAAGAACUUUAUGGGCAAGUGGAGAACAACUCUAGAAGCCAAUUUCAGGACAAUUACACAGGUUCCCAGCUAAAAUAAUUACGUAGCCAAGAGAAGUGAUGGAUAUCAUGAAUUCCAAGACCUGUAAAUUACUCAGGAUGAAUGGAAGAUUUCACCUGAAGUCCAGUACUCCGACACUAUACAACAGCAUGAAGGAAGGAGGUUUGGGGCCUGAUGAGUCUCAAGGACACAGUCCUGGAUGAAGCACAGAGCAUCGACAAGUACGGUACAUCACAAAGAUGGCUACAACUGCUAAGGGAAUGCCUGAGACAACAACAGAUAGAGG